rnacentral:rRNA from 1 species
AAUAGAUACCCUGGUAGUCCACGCCGUAAACGAUGAGUGCUAAGUGUUAGGGGGUUUCCGCCCCUUAGUGCUGCAGCUAACGCAUUAAGCACUCCGCCUGGGGAGUACGGUCGCAAGACUGAAACUCAAAGGAAUUGACGGGGGCCCGCACAAGCGGUGGAGCAUGUGGUUUAAUUCGAAGCAACGCGAAGAACCUUACCAGGUCUUGACAUCCCAUUGACCACUAUGGAGACAUGGUUUUCCCUUCGGGGACAACGGUGACAGGUGGUGCAUGGUUGUCGUCAGCUCGUGUCGUGAGAUGUUGGGUUAAGUCCCGCAACGAGCGCGACCCUUGUUCUUAGUUGCCAUCAUUUAGUUGGGCACUCUAAGGAGACUGCCGGUGACAAGCCGGAGGAAGGUGGGGAUGACGUCAAAUCAUCAUGCCCCUUAUGACCUGGGCUACACACGUGCUACAAUGGACGGUACAAACGGUUGCCAACCCGCGAGGGGGAGCUAAUCCGAUAAAACCGUUCUCAGUUCGGAUUGUAGGCUCGAACUACGUCCGU